rnacentral:rRNA from 1 species
UGCGGCGCAACUAUAACGUUUGUGUUGUUUGAGCCUGGUCAGUACCUGGAUGGGAGACCUCCUGGGAAAACUAGGUUGCUGCUGGAA